ACGGGUGAGUAAUACAUCGGAACGUGUCCUGUAGUGGGGGAUAGCCCGGCGAAAGCCGGAUUAAUACCGCAUACGAUCUACGGAAGAAAGCGGGGGACCGAAAGGCCUCGCGCUAUAGGGGCGGCCGAUGGCAGAUUAGCUAGUUGGUGGGGUAAAGGCCUACCAAGGCGACGAUCUGUAGCUGGUCUGAGAGGACGACCAGCCACACUGGGACUGAGACACGGCCCAGACUCCUACGGGAGGCAGCAGUGGGGAAUUUUGGACAAUGGGGGAAACCCUGAUCCAGCAAUGCCGCGUGUGUGAAGAAGGCCUUCGGGUUGUAAAGCACUUUUGUCCGGAAAGAAAACUUCUGCCCUAAUACGGUGGGAGGAUGACGGUACCGGAAGAAUAAGCACCGGCUAACUACGUGCCAGCAGCCGCGG
rnacentral:rRNA from 1 species